UACGUAGGGUGCAAGCGUUAAUCGGAAUUACUGGGCGUAAAGCGUGCGCAGGCGGUUAUGCAAGACAGAGGUGAAAUCCCCGGGCCUCAACCUGGGAACUGCCUUUGUGACUGCAUAGCUAGAGUACGGUAGAGGGGGAUGGAAUUCCGCGUGUAGCAGUGAAAUGCGUAGAUAUGCGGAGGAACACCGAUGGCGAAGGCAAUCCCCUGGACCUGUACUGACGCUCAUGCGACGAAAGCGUGGGGAGCAAACAGG
rnacentral:rRNA from 1 species